AGUGAACGCUGGCGGUAGGCCUAACACAUGCAAGUCGAACGGCAGCACAGUAAGAGCUUGCUCUUACGGGUGGCGAGUGGCGGACGGGUGAGGAAUACAUCGGAAUCUACUUUUUCGUGGGGGAUAACGUAGGGAAACUACGCUAAUACCGCAUACGACCUACGGGUGAAAGCAGGGGAUCUUUGGACCUUGCGCGAUUGAAUGAGCCGAUGUCGGAUUAGCUAGUUGGCGGGGUAAAGGCCCACCAAGGCGACGAUCCGUAGCUGGUCUGAGAGGAUGAUCAGCCACACUGGAACUGAGACACGGUCCAGACUCCUACGGGAGGCAGCAGUGGGGAAUAUUGGACAAUGGGCGCAAGCCUGAUCCAGCCAUACCGCGUGGGUGAAGAAGGCCUUCGGGUUGUAAAGCCCUUUUGUUGGGAAAGAAAAGCAGCAGGUUAAUACCCCGCUGUUCUGACGGUACCCAAAGAAUAAGCACCGGCUAACUUCGUG
rnacentral:rRNA from 1 species